rnacentral:misc_RNA from 1 species
CACAAAAGCUAAAUGAUCGAUAUUCAACAGAGUUAAUCUCUCAAGAGCAGGGCAGUUGCAGAUUAAACUUUCAAGUGUAUCACUUACUAUAAAGACUUGACUAAGCUUGAGGCUUUUAAGGCAAUCAAAUCCUUUGAAAAAAGCAGGAAGCUUGAAUAUACAGCCAAAGAGCUCCAAGCAGCUGAGCUUUGGACAACAGAAAACACAAGAAGGCAGCUUAAAACGUUUUAUAAAACUGAAAUCCUGGAUAAUUAACUCCUUAAUACCUUUCUUUGUUAAAAAAGCUAUCCAUUGAUCAAAAUCAGAAUGGUUUGGACAGCAAUAAGCAGCAAGCUUAAACUUCUCUAUUGGACCACUGUGACUGGAUUGAACCUUAUUAAUGAUUUUCAUAAUCUCCAUCCAUCUGGCUGCCUUGUCUACCAUAGAACUAUGGAUGCAUUUAUCAUCAAAAACAAACUGAGAAAGGCCAGUCCACUUAUAUCUCCAUUUACUUGACAAGACACUAGUCCUUGCAGCCUCUCUUAGCGGCAGGUGCACAAGGAUGAUAUCUAAUACAUCCCAUGGUAGAUUACUGAUCCUAUCUAUCUUUGUUUGGUUUUCCAUCUCAAUAGACUUUUGAUGUUUCCUUGUAUUGUUCAUAGGUUCUUUGGCUGGAUUAAAAACUCUGUUUUCAAUACAAUGCAGCAGAUUCUUCAGAGAGAGAACAUACCAACCCUGGAUAGAAGCUGGCGAUCGGAACGGCGAUCAUCAGCCGCUAGAGCUGGAGGAGCCGAGGAGUGUGUCUCUGACUGUUUGUGCUCGAGUGCGUGGACCCAAUCUGUAAAAAGGCUGGGGUUCUGGAUUUUGUUCAUUCAAUGCUUAAAAAAUAAUACAUAAAAUUGUAAUCUAUACACAAGCAGAAGGUAUUCAGCACAUGAUGCUCUUUUUUAUAUAAUUUUUACAUGUUUAAUAUGUAUGAUUUUUUUUAUUAUAUAUAAA